rnacentral:rRNA from 1 species
AUUGAACGCUGGCGGCAGGCCUAACACAUGCAAGUCGAGCGGAUGAAGGGAGCUUGCUCCUGGAUUCAGCGGCGGACGGGUGAGUAAUGCCUAGGAAUCUGCCUGGUAGUGGGGGAUAACGUCCGGAAACGGGCGCUAAUACCGCAUACGUCCUGAGGGAGAAAGUGGGGGAUCUUCGGACCUCACGCUAUCAGAUGAGCCUAGGUCGGAUUAGCUAGUUGGUGGGGUAAAGGCCUACCAAGGCGACGAUCCGUAACUGGUCUGAGAGGAUGAUCAGUCACCCUGGAACUGAGACACGGUCCAGCCUCCUACGGGAGGCAGCAGUGGGGAAUAUUGGACAAUGGGCGAAAGCCUGAUCCAGCCAUGCCGCGUGUGUGAAGAAGGUCUUCGGAUUGUAAAGCACUUUAAGUUGGGAGGAAGGGCAGUAAGUUAAUACCUUGCUGUUUUGACGUUACCAACAGAAUAAGCACCGGCUAACUUCGUG